GAGCGGUAGAGAGAAGCUUGCUUCUCUUGAGAGCGGCGGACGGGUGAGUAAUGCCUAGGAAUCUGCCUGGUAGUGGGGGAUAACGUUCGGAAACGGACGCUAAUACCGCAUACGUCCUACGGGAGAAAGCAGGGGACCUUCGGGCCUUGCGCUAUCAGAUGAGCCUAGGUCGGAUUAGCUAGUUGGUGAGGUAAUGGCUCACCAAGGCGACGAUCCGUAACUGGUCUGAGAGGAUGAUCAGUCACACUGGAACUGAGACACGGUCCAGACUCCUACGGGAGGCAGCAGUGGGGAAUAUUGGACAAUGGGCGAAAGCCUGAUCCAGCCAUGCCGCGUGUGUGAAGAAGGUCUUCGGAUUGUAAAGCACUUUAAGUUGGGAGGAAGGGCAUUAACCUAAUACGUUAGUGUUUUGACGUUACCGACAGAAUAAGCACCGGCUAACUCUGUGCCAGCAGCCGCGGUAAUACAGAGGGUGCAAGCGUUAAUCGGAAUUACUGGGCGUAAAGCGCGCGUAGGUGGUUUGUUAAGUUGGAUGUGAAAUCCCCGGGCUCAACCUGGGAACUGCAUUCAAAACUGACUGACUAGAGUAUGGUAGAGGGUGGGUGGGAAUUUCCUGUGUAGCGGUGAAAUGCGUAGAUAUAGGAAGGAACACCAGUGGCGAAGGCGACCACCUGGACUAAUACUGACACUGAGGUGCGAAAGCGUGGGGAGCAAACAGGAUUAGAUACCCUGGUAGUCCACGCCGUAAACGAUGUCAACUAGCCGUUGGGAGCCUUGAGCUCUUAGUGGCGCAGCUAACGCAUUAAGUUGACCGCCUGGGGAGUACGGCCGCAAGGUUAAGACUCAAAUGAAUUGACGGGGGCCCGCACAAGCGGUGGAGCAUGUGGU
rnacentral:rRNA from 1 species